CACGAGGUAGAAAGUCAACUAUUGGCGUGGAAGACGCUGCGGCCGGGUGCCCUGCCUUUGCUUAGCAUGCUGGGAAAUGUAGUUCCAGACGGCCGCAUGCGCAGGCGCACUUCCUGGCAUGUGGCGUGAAGACGCUGGAGAGUCGGACGGUGUUCGUUUCUUCGUGGAGCUGAUUUCAGGAGCCUGGUAUUCCAUUCUCUUGGCCUCAGAUGCCAAGGAAAAGAUAGAAGAAGGUGGUAGCAUGAGGGUUUUUAUCGAAUACAUCGAAGCCCUGGACAACUCUUCUCUGUUCUUUAAGUUUCAUAUGAAAGAGAAUGGAAAGUGUACGACACAAUCUCUGGUUUCUCACAAAACAGAAAAGGAUGGUGUAUAUAGUAUUGAGUAUGAUGGAUACAAUUUAUUUACCAUAGAUGAAACGGACUAUAAAUAUGUCAUAUUUCAUCUUAGAAAUUUUGACAAGACGACUCCAUUCCAACUGAUGGAGCUCUACGCCCGAGAACCAGAUGUGAGUCCAAAACUCAAGGAAAAGUUUGUGAAAUAUUGCCAAGAAUAUGGGAUUGUUAAAGAAAAUGUAAUUGACCUGACCAAAGUUGAUCGCUGUUCCCAGGCCCGAGGGAGCGAAGUGGCCCAGGCCUCCAGGCAAAUUUCCAGAUCUCAAUUUCUUUUGGUGAUGAAGAUUCUUCAAAAACUUACCACUACUGACAACUGCUUUGCUUUGAAGUAAAGCAGUGACCCUUGCUGAGGUUCUGCUUUCUAACAAGCUCCCAGAGAUACCAAAGCUGUGCUACCUUGGGAGAAGGGGGACACAGGAGACGUGAAACUAUUCAUCUUACCUUCUUCAUUACCUCUAUUCUUGGAUUAUUUUGCUCCGCCUGGGUACUGGAAACCUCCAACCUGUACCUCCCACUUCACAUAAGUGGACACUUGGCUAUUAUAAAGCACGAUGAACAUUCAUGUAU